CGGCUGUGUCUGAAUCUCCCGCA
rnacentral:snRNA from 1 species